rnacentral:rRNA from 2 species
UAUACAUGCAGUCGAACGCGUUGGCCCAAUUGAUUGAUGGUGCUUGCACCUGAUUGAUUUUGGUCGCCAACGAGUGGCGGACGGGUGAGUAACACGUAGGUAACCUGCCCAGAAGCGGGGGACAACAUUUGGAAACAGAUGCUAAUACCGCAUAACAACGUUGUUCGCAUGAACAACGCUUAAAAGAUGGCUUCUCGCUAUCACUUCUGGAUGGACCUGCGGUGCAUUAGCUUGUUGGUGGGGUAAUGGCCUACCAAGGCGAUGAUGCAUAGCCGAGUUGAGAGACUGAUCGGCCACAAUGGGACUGAGACACGGCCCAUACUCCUACGGGAGGCAGCAGUAGGGAAUCUUCCACAAUGGGCGCAAGCCUGAUGGAGCAACACCGCGUGAGUGAAGAAGGGUUUCGGCUCGUAAAGCUCUGUUGUUAAAGAAGAACACGUAUGAGAGUAACUGUUCAUACGUUGACGGUAUUUAACCAGAAAGUCACGGCUAACUACGUGCCAGCAGCCGCGGUAAUACGUAGGUGGCAAGCGUUAUCCGGAUUUAUUGGGCGUAAAGAGAGUGCAGGCGGUUUUCUAAGUCUGAUGUGAAAGCCUUGGCUUAACCGGAGAAGUGCAUCGGAAACUGGAUAACUUGAGUGCAGAAGAGGGUAGUGGAACUCC